rnacentral:tRNA from 2 species
GGAGUGGUAGCUCAGAGGUAGAGCAAUCGGCUGCAGUCCGAUAGGUCAUGGGUUCAAUUCCCAUUCGCUCCU